rnacentral:rRNA from 1 species
UACGUAGGGCGCGAGCGUUGUCCGGAAUUAUUGGGCGUAAAGAGCUCGUAGGUGGCUUGUUGCGUCUGCCGUGAAAGCCCGUGGCUUAACUACGGGUCUGCGGUGGAUACGGGCAGGCUAGAGGCUGGGUAGGGGCAAGCGGAAUUCCUGGUGUAGCGGUGAAAUGCGCAGAUAUCAGGAGGAACACCGGUGGCGAAGGCGGCUUGCUGGGCCAGUUCUGACGCUGAGGAGCGAAAGCGUGGGGAGCGAACAGG